ACAUGGCUUGGUUGAAUUCUAAGGCAUUCUGCCAUCUGUUAUUUUCUUGACAACAGACCAUUGGUAAGUAUAACACACCGUUGCCAUGCAUAGCAGAGCGUUGCCAUGGACGCAAUUCUGUUCACUCUGGAGGACAGCUAUCAAUCCGCUGAAAGAAGUCCGGAUAAUUUAUCAGCUGUGGCAAAAAAAAAGCAUGUUUUAAA